CCUACGGGUGGCAGCAGUGAGGAAUAUUGGUCAAUGGCCGCAAGUCUGAACCAGCCAAGUCGCGUGCGGGAAGACGGCCCUCCGGGUUGUAAACCUCUUUUGUCAGGGAGCAAAAUGCAGGUCGGGACCUGCUGUUAGAGUGCCUGAAGAGAAAUCAUCGGCUCACUCCGUGCCAGCGGCCGCGGUAAUACAGAGGAUGCGAGCGUUUUCCGGAUUUAUUGGGUUUAAAGGGUGCGCAGGCGGAGGCACAAGUCACUGGGAAAAUCGCGGGGUUCAACGCCGCGUUGCAGUUGAAACUGGGGGCCUUGAGUGCGCGAAGGGUAGGCGGAAUGCGUGGUGUAGCGGUGAAAUGCAUAGAUAUCACGAAGAACUCCGAUCGCGAAGGCAGGUGACCGGCGUGCAACUGACGCUGAGGCACGAAAGUGUGGGUAUCGAACAGGAUUAGAUACCCGGGUAGUC
rnacentral:rRNA from 1 species